GCCGGAGUGGCGGAAUUGGCAGACGCGCACGACUCAAACUCGUGUGGGGAAACCCGUGUGGGUUCGACUCCCACCUUCGGCA
rnacentral:tRNA from 1 species